AUACAGAGGGUGCAAGCGUUAAUCGGAAUUACUGGGCGUAAAGGGCGUGUAGGCGGUCUUCCAAGUCGGGUGUGAAAGCCCUCGGCUCAACCGAGGAAUUGCUCUCGAUACUGGUCGACUAGAGUGCGGCAGGGGUAAGUGGAACUCCAGGUGUAGCGGUGAAAUGCGUAGAUAUCUGGAGGAACGCCGGUGGCGAAAGCGACUUACUGGGCCGCAACUGACGCUGAGGCGCGAAAGCUAGGGGAGCGAACGGGAUUAGAAACCCCUGUAGUCC
rnacentral:rRNA from 1 species